GUGAUGUUGGCCGAGCGGUCUAAGGCGUCGGAUUUAAGCCGGAGAUUAUCCUGCACCCGAUGGGUCACCACCCGCGUGAGUUCGAACCUCACACAUCACA